AAUACGUAGGGGUGCAAGCGUUGUCCGGAAUUAUUGGGCGUAAAGAGCUCGUAGGCGGCUUGUCGCGUCUGCUGUGAAAACCAGAGGCUCAACCUCUGGCUGCAGUGGGUACGGGCAAGCUAGAGUGCGGUAGGGGAGAUUGGAAUUCCUGGUGUAGCGGUGGAAUGCGCAGAUAUCAGGAGGAACACCGAUGGCGAAGGCAGAUCUCUGGGCCGUAACUGACGCUGAGGAGCGAAAGCAUGGGGAGCGAACAGGAUUAGAUACCCUGGUAGUCCAUGCCGUAAACGUUGGGAACUAGAUGUAGGGCCUGUUCCACGGGUUCUGUGUCGUAGCUAACGCAUUAAGUUCCCCGCCUGGGGAGUACGGCCGCAAGGCUAAAACUCAAAGGAAUUGACGGGGGCCCGCACAAGCGGCGGAGCAUGCGGAUUAAUUCGAUGCAACGCGAAGAACCUUACCAAGGCUUGACAUAUACGAGAACACUGUAGAGAUACAGGACUCUUUGGACACUCGUAAACAGGUGGUGCAUGGUUGUCGUCAGCUCGUGUCGUGAGAUGUUCGGUUAAGUCCGGCAACGAGCGCAACCCUCGUCCUAUGUUGCCAGCACGUAAUGGUGGGAACUCAUGGGAUACUGCCGUGGUCAACACGGAGGAAGGUGGGGAUGACGUCAAAUCAUCAUGCCCCUUAUGUCUUGGGCUUCACGCAUGCUACAAUGGCCGAUACAAAGGGCUGCGAUACCGCGAGGUGGAGCGAAUCCCAAAAAGUCGGUCUCAGUUCGGAUUGGGGUCUGCAACUCGACCCCAUGAAGUCGGAGUCGCUAGUAAUCGCAGAUCAGCAACGCUGCGGUGAAUACGUUCCCGGGCCUUGUACACACCGCCCGUCAAGUCAUGAAAGUCGGUAACACCCGAAGCCGGUGGCCUAACCCCUUGUGGGAGGGAGC
rnacentral:rRNA from 1 species